rnacentral:rRNA from 1 species
AGUAACGCGUGGGUAACCUGCCUUAUACAGGGGGGUAACAGUCAGAAAUGGCUGCUAAUACCGCAUAAGCGCACAGAGCUGCAUGGCUCAGUGUGAAAAACUCCGGUGGUAUAAGAUGGACCCGCGUUGGAUUAGCUAGUUGGUGGGGUAACGGCCCACCAAGGCGACGAUCCAUAGCCGGCCUGAGAGGGUGAACGGCCACAUUGGGACUGAGACACGGCCCAG